UACGUAGGGUGCAAGCGUUGUCCGGAAUUAUUGGGCGUAAAGAGCUUGUAGGUGGUUUGUCGCGUCUGCUGUGAAAAUCCGAGGCUCAACCUCGGACUUGCAGUGGGUACGGGCAGACUAGAGUGUGGUAGGGGAGACUGGAAUUCCUGGUGUAGCGGUGGAAUGCGCAGAUAUCAGGAGGAACACCGAUGGCGAAGGCAGGUCUCUGGGCCAUUACUGACACUGAGAAGCGAAAGCAUGGGGGAGCGAACAGGA
rnacentral:rRNA from 1 species